rnacentral:rRNA from 1 species
GAUGAACGCUGACAGAAUGCUUAACACAUGCAAGUCUUUGGCGAAGCUGUGCUUGCACAGCCUAGCCAAGGCGGACGGGUGAGUAACGCGUAAGGAACUUGCCCUGCAGUCAGGGAUAACAGACUGAAACGACUGAUAAGACCUGGUAAAGUCAGGCGGACUCAUGUCCAGCCUGAUGAAAAGAGAUGCUGCAGGAGAGCCUUGCAUCCUAUUAGCUUGUUGGUGGGGUAACGGCCCACCAAGGCGAUGAUAGGUAGCCGGCCUGAGAGGGUGGACGGCCACAAGGGGACUGAGAUGCGGCAGUUACUCAUACGGGAGACAGGAGUGGAGAAUAUUGGACAAUGGGGGCAACACUGAUCAAGCAAUUCUGUGUGCAAGAUGAAGGUUUUCGGAUUGUAAAGUGCUUUCAGCAGGGAAGAAAAAAAUGACGGUACCUGCAGAAGAAGCGACGGCUAACUACGUG